GAUGCUUUGCAUAGACAGCACAUGCUUCAGUGGUCUGGGAGUGUUUAUAUCCCUGUGAGUAUAAUACUUCAUGACUGAGAGCUGUCCUUCAUGACAACAGAACCAACAACCAUGACUUUUAUCACCAUCCUCAUCUGGACACUUGCUUUCUGCUUCAAGGAAUCUAGAGGACAGAUCACUGUGACUCAGUCACCUACAGUGAAAACUGUUCUCCCAGGACAGACAGUCUCUAUGAACUGUAAAGCCAGCAGUGAUGUGUAUCCUAACUGUUGGGGUACAGGUAAACCAUGUUUAGCCUGGUAUCAACAGAAACCUGGAGAAACUCAUAAACUACUGGUCUACUAUGGAAGCAUCCUCUUCACUGGGACUCCAUCUAGAUUCAGUGGUAGUGGAUCAGGGAGGGACUUCACUCUGACCAUCAGUGGAGUCCAGGCUGAAGAUGCAGGAGAUUACUACUGUCAGAGUUACAAACAUAUCAAUAGUAAAGAUGUGUUCACACAGUGAUACAGAGCCGUACAAAAACCUCCCUCAGUCAGACUGCACAGUGACUGUACUGCUACAGCUGGGACCUACAGCAGGUGCUGAGGGGGAAGAGACAGUAACAUGGAACACUGAUCAGUAGAUGAGGUCAACUGUGGCAUGACAAUAUGGUUAGAAAGCAAUCAUUCUUUCAAGGCACAAGGCGAGACCCAGAUGCAGACACAGGGGGCAGAUGGUUGGAGUCUAACAAUGUUUAUUAAUCCAAAAAGGGGUAGGCAUGAGAAUGGUCGUGUACAGGCAAAAGGUCAAAACCAGUUCAGAGUCCAAUAGGUACUGAAGGGCAGACAGAUUCAAGGUCAGGGCAGGCAGGAUGAUCAGGCAGGCGAGAAAGUAGUCCAGAGUCAGGCAGUGGUCAAAACCAGGAAGACUGGCAAAAGAGAAUAGAAAAGGAGUACAGGGAAAACACGCUGGUUGAC